rnacentral:ncRNA from 1 species
GUUUGACUGGGGAGGUACACCUGUCAAAGCGUAACGCAGGUGUCCUAAGGCGAGCUCAGGGAGGACGGAAACCUCCCGCGGAGCAGAAGGGCAAAAGCUCGCUUGAUCUUGAUUUUCAGUACGAAUACAGACCGUGAAAGCGGGGCCUCACGAUCCUUCUGGCUUUUUGGGUUUUAAGCAGGAGGUGUCAGAAAAGUUACCACAGGGAUGCAGAAACACAAAUGCCUGAAUUUCCAAGAUAUGUAUCUUUUUCUGAAGAAUCUAAGCUCAGAACAGUUGACUUAGCUCAAAAUAUUUCUCUGCUUUUGCCUUUUUUCAUGUACUUCAUACCUGCACAAUUUUAAUGCAAGCUCCUCUAGAUAAGAACAUCUCUUCUACAGGCUUCUUUGAUGACCAUACACUAUCCAGGAAGAUGAUGGAAUCUUGCACAGGAUCACAGUUGGUGGAAGGUUAUGAAGGGAAAAGGAGAUACUAAAUCCACCUUUCCAGGUGUCUUGGAGGUAAACACAAGGGAUUAUUUUUCCU